AGCGAACGCUGGCGGCAGGCCUAACACAUGCAAGUCGAACGAUCCUUCGGGAUAGUGGCGGACGGGUGAGUAACACGUGGGCACGUGCCUUUUGGUUCGGAACAACUCAGGGCAACUUGAGCUAAUACCGAAUGUGCCCUUCGGGGGAAAGAUCUAUCGCCAUUAGAGCGGCCCGCGUCUGCUUAGCUAGUUGGUGAGGUAAUGGCUCACCAAGGCGACGAUAAGUAGCUGGUCUGAGAAGAUGAUCAGCCACACUGGGACUAAGACACGGCCCAGACUCCUACGGGAGGCAGCAGUGGGGAAUCUUGCGCAAUGGGCGAAAGCCUGACGCAGCCAUGCCGCGUGAAUGAUGAAGGUCUUAGGAUUGUAAAAUUCUUUCACCGGGGACGAUAAUGACGGUACCCGGAGAAGAAGCUCCGGCUAACUUCGUGCCAGCCGCCGCUGUAAAAC
rnacentral:rRNA from 1 species